rnacentral:rRNA from 1 species
AUGGGAUCUUCUGCGCCAGGGCUCUCUGCAGUGCAUCCUGCUACCACUUCACGUCGCACACGGCUACAACAAGGUCUGAUUAAACCCAUUGAUUAUAAACAUGUUGCAAAAUAUGGGAUGAUCUGUUCAACAGGUGAACCAGGAGAACCCAAUACUCUUGAAGAGGCCCUCGGUGAUGCAUAUUGGAGAAAGGCAAUGCAUGAUGAAAUUGUGGCAUUAAGGAGAAAUAAAACAUGGCACCUGGUUCCUCCAAGACAAGGUAAAAAUCUUAUUGACUGCAAGUGGGUCUUUAGGAUAAAAAGAAAAGCUGAUGGAACUAUUGACCGCUACAAAGCCAGACUUGUUGCAAAGGGUUUUAAACAAAGGUAUGGUAUUGACUAUGAGGACACAUUUAGUCCGGUUGUUAAAGCAGCUACCAUACGCCUUGUCCUGUCCAUUGCUGUGUCUAGGGGAUGGAGUCUACGACAGCUAGACGUUCAGAACGCGUUUCUUCAUGGUGUUCUGGAAGAAGAGGUUUACAUGAAACAACCGCCUGGGUUUGUAAAUGCACAGGUACCACUUCAUGUGUGCAAACUUGACAAGGCUUUGUAUGGACUGAAACAGGCUCCAAGAGCGUGGUAUUCUCGUCUCAGUAAAAAGAUGCAAGCACUUGGUUUUAUUCCUUCGAAGUCUGACACUUCAUUAUUCAUUUAUAACAAGUCAAAAAUAUUCAUAUUUGUUCUCAUUUAUGUUGAUGAUAUAAUUGUGACAAGUUCAUCUGACGAAGCAAUAACAGCACUGUUGAAGGAUUUAAGUGCAGAAUUUGCUCUCAAGGAUCUAGGAGAUCUACACUACUUUCUUGGCAUUGAGGUUAAGCAGCACAAGGAUGGCCUUCAUCUCUCUCAAGAAAAGUAUGCAACUGACUUAGUAAAAAAGGCUGGUCUACAGAGUUGUAAGCAUGCGCCCACUCCUUUAUCUAGCACAGAAAAAUUAUUUCUUGCUGAAGGAGAACUUCUGGACUCAGAAAAUAGUACAAAGUACAGAAGUUUGGUAGGUGCUCUUCAAUACUUGACAUUGACACGGCCAGAUAUCUCAUUUGCUGUCAACAAAGUAUGUCAAUUCCUUCAUGCACCUACCACAGUUCACUUGACUGCUGCAAAGCGCAUAGUGAGAUAUGUGAAAAAUACAUUAAGCAUUGGUUUGAAUUUUAGCAAGUCAUCUUCCACACUUAUCAGUGCUUUCUCUGACUCAGAUUGGGCAGGAUGCUUAGAUGAUAGACGCUCAACCGGUGGUUUUGCAGUAUUCUUUGGACCUAAUUUGAUAUCUUGGAGUGCAAGGAAGCAAGCCACGGUUUCUAGAUCUAGCACAGAAGCAGAAUACAAAGCAUUGGCCAAUGCAACCACAGAGAUCAUAUGGGUGCAGUCAAUUUUGAAAGAACUAGGCAUGAAAAACACUAAGGCUCCAUGUCUAUGGUGUGAUAAUCUAGGUGCUACCUAUUUGUCAGCAAAUCCAAUUUUCCAUGCUAGAACUAAACAUAUUGAGAUAGAUUUUCACUUUGUUCGUGAGAGAGUUGCAAACAAACUCUUAGACAUUCGGUUUAUUCACUCCCAAGACCAAGUUGCAGAUGGGUUUACCAAAGCUCUUCCUACAAAAAGUUUCGAGGCUUUCAAG